GUGCCAGCAGCCGCGGUAAUACGUAGGGCGCAAGCGUUAUCCGGGAAUUAUUGGGCGUAAAGAGCUCGUAGGCGGUCUGUCGCGUCUGCUGUGAAAACCCGAGGCUCAACCUCGGGCCUGCAGUGGGUACGGGCAGACUAGAGUGCGGUAGGGGAGAUUGGAAUUCCUGGUGUAGCGGUGGAAUGCGCAGAUAUCAGGAGGAACACCGAUGGCGAAGGCAGAUCUCUGGGCCGUGACUGACGCUGAGGAGCGAAAGGGUGGGGAGCAAACAGGCUUAGAUACCCUGGUAGUCC
rnacentral:rRNA from 1 species